GUGUGUCACUGAAACCAUGCUCGAAUUAUCUUUUUGUCUUUAAGGGGGUCUCUCUAUCUCAUAAAAAAAGUUGGCCCACCCUGCACAUAGCCUAACAAGGCUAUACAAUUAAAUAGUCUAGGCGCGAGUGGCGCUUUUGCGCAGUAUAUGCGCACGGUAGGCCUAGGCUAUUAUCUUGACACACGCACACAAC